rnacentral:lncRNA from 1 species
CUGGGCCUAUAUUGCUGUGGGACCCUUUUGUAUGCUCUGGUAAAAUCCUCAACUUGUUCUAUGGAAAGGCCUCUUCACAUUACUUCUUUCACUUGAUGGUAGACUUGAUUUAUAUUAACCUCAAUUAUAAGAUAUACCAACAUGAUUGCUAUUUCUAGUGCAUCUUAAUUCGAAUUUAGUUGCUGUUUGAAAUUUAAAUUCAACUUUACAAUGCAUUGGAAAUGGCAAUUAUAUUGGUA